AGUAUGGUUGCAAAGCUGAAACUUAAAGGUAUUGACGGAAGGGCACCACAAGGAGUGGAGCUUGCGGCUUAAUUUGACUCAACGCGGGGCAACUCACCCGGUCCGGACACCGCGGGGAUUGACAGAUUGAUAGCUCUUUUCUUGAUUCGGUGGUUGUGGUGCAUGGCCGUUCUUAGUACGUGGUGCAAACUGUCAGGUUAAAUCCGCUAACGUACGCGACUCUAGCCUAUUUACUAGAGCUGGACGAUGAUAAUAAGUCGCCGAUGCGAGGAACUUUCUUAGGGGGAUCCAUUGCGUGGGAGAAGCGGAUGAAAUAGAGCAAUAACAGGUCUGUGAUGCCCUUAGAUGUUCGGGGCCGCACGCGCGCUACACUGAAAAGGAAAGAGGGUGUCCGAGUAUGAGCCGGGCGCGCGAGCCGCCUUAGAGAAAUCUUAGAAACCUUAUCGUGCUAGGGAUUAGGGUUUGGAACUGUUGCCUAUCAACGAGGAAUUCCAAGUAAGUGCGAGUGACUAGCUUGCGUUGAUCAAGUCCCUGCCCUUUGUACACACCGCCCGUCGCUACCACUGAGCUAGCGGCUUAGCAAGGGCGUCGAGACGCGUCCUGGGGGCUCUUGGCGUGGACGGUGCCGUCGGCUUCGGUCGGCCGCCGGCCACUUUGCCGGCCUCAGGUGGGCGUGAAAGGCGUUCAAACUCGGCUGCUUCUAGGAGGUAAA
rnacentral:rRNA from 1 species